rnacentral:rRNA from 1 species
UACGUAGGGUGCGAGCGUUGUCCGGAUUUAUUGGGCGUCAAGAGCUCGUAGGCGGUUCGGCAAGUCGGGUGUGAAAUUUCGAGGCUCAACCUCGAAACGCCACUCGAUACUGCUGUGACUGGAGUCCGGUAGAGGAGUGCGGAAUUCCUGGUGUAGCGGUGAAAUGCGCAGAUAUCAGGAGGAACACCAACGGCGAAGGCAGCACUCUGGGCCGGUACUGACGCUGAGGAGCGAAAGCGUGGGGAGCAAACAGG